UAGCAUGUUAGGUAAUACAGUAGUAUGCUCUGUAGUACACUAGCAUGUUAGGUAAUAUCAGUAGUGCUCUGGUGUACACUGGCAUGUUAGGUAAUACCAGUCCUCUAUGUAGUACACUGGCAUGAUAGGUAAUACUAUAGUGCGCUAUGUAGUACACUGGUAUAUUAGGUAAUAUAAUACUGUGCUAUGUAGUACACUUGCCAGCUAUAGGCUACACAGAAGUCUAGGAGGUAGUGCAAUAGUCUAGUUGUAGGAUUGUGUACUAGUCUCACAUGCUAUUCUAGUAUUACUUGAUGAACCAGAAUUUCAAAAUACCGAUUAAUGUAGUUUAAGUAGGGCAAUGAUUUUUACACACGUGCUUAUUGUCUUAAGAUAAGAGUGAGUCUUUUGGACUGGUCUUAUCGCGGAACGAUGAACUCUCUCACAGUGAGCACAGUACACACAAACUCACACAAGCACUACAGAUAUAACUUCUCCGCGUUCUUCGUACUUGCGGCUGCCUUCUUUAAUUAUCUAUAUUUUUUGUGAAAUUUUAGCACACGCAGUGGGAAGGUUCUCGUAAACAUAUUGUCUCGUGACCAUUGUGUGCACAUAUUUCGCUUUGGAGUAACGAGGAGAAUCGGAUGCGGAGGAAUGCCAAGAGCAAGAGAGAAAAAUGUCGGUCACCGAAAUAGGGCGCGUGUGCGAGAGAACGAGAGAAAGUGCAAGUGCCAAGUGCGUGUUUCAAAGAAAAUGCCAGCAAUAAAGUGUGUUUAAAUAAUGACAUAUGGGCGACAGAUGUUAGUCCAUGAUGGUAAAUGCUCUAUUACCGUCACAGGCUCACGCACGAACCAGACUCGCUCGUCAUGUCGGACCCACGCGCGCUGACACGCUGCGCGAAGCAAACACAUUGCAAUGUGCACAUGGCGCGACAACACUCGCACACUCGCACGCCGCCGCCUCAGGCAACACACAAGAGGGAAAUUAAGUGGAGCACCGAGCACCCAGUGUGGCAAUGGUAAUAGUAUCAAGCCCUUCCCCGCCGCCACAAGGUCACCUUAACUAAUGGUGCGUGCGCAGGCCGUGACGUAGGCGCUGCACUGCCACCUACUUCCGGUGACUUGGUUGCUAGGGUGUAACCUUUGAUCUCUGAGCUCGCCGUUACGCGCUUGCCUCUUGAUGAGCGUGUUUCUCACGUCUGUCAUUGUGCAUACUUUACUCCGGAAGAUCAGCUCCAUGCGCCAUACUCUGUUUAUCUCAACCACAACAUUCUCAUUCGCUCAUUUGUUGUCUAAACUAGACCACUGCAACUCUCUUCUCGCUGGCUGUCUACGGUAUCUCAUCCACAAGCUUCAGAAAGUCCAGAACUCCACUGAUCAUCUCGUUUUCUGGACUCGUAAAUGUGAACAUGUCACACCACUUCUUUACUCUCGUCAUUGGCUGCAACUAAAGCUAGAAUAGACUAUAAGCUCUCAACUCUAUGCUAUGGAUUCUUUGAAGGAUCCCCCCACACACACACACUACUUUUCUUUUUAACACCUUGUAAAUCUUUGAGAACAUAAGAAACGCAGCUUUUUCACUAAAUAAUAAUAAUUUUAAAAAAAACCUGCCUUGGCUUUCACCCGAUCAUUUCAUGAUAGCAGCUGUCACAAGUGUUUUUCUAGUCCAGACAGGCGCACCGUGGAACAGCGGGCGUCUCGACAGCGCAGUGUUACCACAGUGUUGUCGAAAUCUUAAAGUCUAGCGUUAAUUCAUAUCUCGUUUGGUUGACAGUCCUCACGCCGGUUUUGUGCGAUAGUCAAUAGAUCCUGUACAGGAUGACCAGUCCAGUCUUUGACCUUCGUAAGUCGGUUCUUUCUCUGGCCACUGCGGCGUCCACCACUCUCCAAGGUACCUUCAAGGACAGUCUUCGACAGGGUGUCGUGCCGGGUCACAUGACCAAACUGUAUGUCUCAGGACUCUAACCAAAGACAAUUCUUUGUGGAACGCUGUCCUAUUCAACCAGAAAAGAAACAAAAUUGACGGCCAAGAAGUAUACGAGGGCAAAGUAUAUCUUGUUUUCGCGGUCGCUGAAGAAUAUUGACACUGGUUAUCAUUUGUUAUCACUCCUGUCAGAUAUCGCCGCCCAGCCUCGCCACCCCAUCAUAGGUCCUCCACUACUGCUGUCAGAUAACGGCAUUAUGACAAGAAGACGGCCUUAAAACCUGCUUCUCAACUCUGCGUCUCGCUAGCCCACUCUCUUUUCUCUCUCUCUCUCCCACCCCCACGGCCUUUUCAUGCUCCGUUCAAUAAUUUUACAAGCUUUCUGUCUUGUCUGCGUGAAUGCUGGCAUAACUUCUGCGUUUCAGGGAUGUAUGAAGUGUACGGGUUUGAGGCGUUCCUUAAAGAAGUUAGACGUAGCCAUCAUCUCCGUGUUUCGCUCUCCAGCUAUCCCCCAGCACACACACACCAUCAUUCCCUCCGUCUUACGUGUCGGUCCCUCGCGCAUACUUGGUUGUCAAAGGUCACCUUCUCGGCUUCCCCUCGCCUGUGUGCGACGUCGACGUGGGGCUGUGAUAAGAACGACGGCUUUUACCUCUUUACCUGUUCAAAUAAACUGGUGACGAGACACCUUGAAGUUUAUGAAAAACUGUUAGCAGCUGUUUCACAAAUACGAUGGACAAGUAAGACAUUUUCUUCCCCUUGUCGGACGGGCGUUACCACCGGCAGUAUAUGAAAAGAGACUGGAGGUCAGAAGGUCAUCAGCUACGUCAUCAGGGUACUGUUGAUGCCUCUUAUCAGAAUGGAGAAGGUGGAAAGGGGAAGAUAAAUCAAGCCUUAUUGACAAGCAAUAAAUUCGAGACUUAAAACUUCCACGUCCCCGGUGAAUAUAUUUUCCAGGAUGUGUGGUGAGUGCACGAGUGUAAAACAAAACAAAAAUAACAGCUUCUAAUCAUCCUCAAACUUUGUCAUCGAUGUUAUGUGACUGGGUAUCACAGAUGGUGUAUGACUGGAUAUUGACUCUCUUUCUGGCGGGUGAGCGACCGGAGACUUUGUCACCUGUACUCACCUCGUCCUAUGACAGGCCUGUGGUGUACCGGUCUGUCGCGAGAAGUAAAAACCUCGCACACGCGCAAGACGACAGCCGACGACAAGGCAGGGAAAGGUGUUUGAAGGUGAACAUCAACCUGUAUCCCUGCCCUGGGUACUCGGUCAGUGUUUUAACUUGGAUGGGCUCUUCCUCUCGGUCUGCUCACAAACGUGUUACUCGGACUGUCGUACACCAGAGUACUUAUAUGCAACAGUUCACACCUGGAAAACAGAAAUUGCGAAUGACUAAUGUCAUGGUGCCCGUUGACACAGAGAGGGGGCGUUACCUGUGACAUUCAACUCAGUGCGAACAGCAUGCUCGGUGACGCGCAGUCAGUGAAGUUUUCCCGUAAACUUGGAGACCGCGAGGUCAGCACAGGUCAGGUCAUAGCCUUUCCUUUCCCUGACGCAUAUCGCUGCUGCAGUUAGGCAUGCGCAGUGCGACACUUGGCUCAGCUGCAGGUAGACACGUGCUUUAGUCGAUUUUCUACGAUGGGGCUGCAGGCAGUGACAUACCGUCCAUAGCAACUAUGUAUGUGCGAUGCAUUCGAAUAGCAGCAGUUAGGUUUCCGUGGCCAGUGAGUUGUGUUCAGAGGGCCACGUGCAGCAUGGCAUCCAGACGCGGUGGUGGGGGGCCCACUGGUGUCUGAAAUACUGCAAGCUGGGCGCCCUCGCGCUCUUCGUCGUCCUCCUCAUCAC